rnacentral:rRNA from 1 species
GACGAACGCUGGCGGCGUGCUUAACACAUGCAAGUCGAACGGAAAGGCCCUGCUUUUGUGGGGUGCUCGAGUGGCGAACGGGUGAGUAACACGUGAGUAACCUGCCCUUGACUUCGGGAUAACUUCAUGAAACUGGGGCUAAUACCGGAUAGGAGCUCCUGCUGCAUGGUGGGUGUGGGAAAGUUUCGGCGGUUGGGGAUGGACUCGCGGCUUAUCAGCUUGUUGGUGGGGUAGUGGAUUACCGAGGCUUUGACGGGUAGCCGGCCUGAGAGGGUGACCGGACACAUUGGGACUGAGAUGCGGCACAGACUCAUACGGGAGGAAGCAGUGGGGAAUAUUGCACAAUGGGCGGAAGCCUGAUGCAGCAACGCCGCGUGCGGGAUGACGGCCUUCGGGUUGUAAACCGCUUUCGCCUGUGACGAAGCGUGAGUGACGGUAAUGGGUAAAGAAGCACCGGCUAACUACGUG